UACUUCCCUUAGGGGCUGGAGAAGGACCUGCCUGAAUUUUGGAUUCUGCCUAUCCUAGACAACAAACUCAACCCUUAGAAAACUGUACCUGGCAUGUUUUUGCUUCUGACGACACCUGACAGAAGGGUUACAUAUAAAAAAAUCCAACUGGAAGGAAGUAGAAGGCAUAAACCACUCAUAAGGAUCCUGACUCUGGAAUACAGCGCUGCUACUCUUAAGAAUUAAGGGUUGUUGUAGCCAUGUUGGCCCCAGGAUAUGAGAGACAAGAGAAAGAUAAGG